UGGUAGACAAAGUUCUUAACUACCUUAAAGUUUUGUCUAUAGAUGUCGACGUUUGGACCGAGCUGUGCGUGGUGUUGUAGGUUCUUUCUUGACUAACAGCGUGUACUUUGUUUUGCUCUCAUUGACCGCUGAACCCAAUUUUGCUCACGAAAGUUCAAAUGUAGCUCAAGAAAAAUUCCAAUAUUGAUGAAAAUUUCUACAGACAUUAUGAUGUUAAAAUAAAACUUUAAAAAAUGGGCAAAUAAAAAGUUAUUGAAGUUUUUUGAACUUAUAGAUUGUUUAAAAAAAAGUCUAAAACAAAAGCUAGACAAUGUUUCCAAGAAAAGAACAAUAAAGAAGUUGUCUCCGAAAAACGAAAUUUUUCUACAACAAUUCGACAAUUUCGUAUUACAAUAUUUUGUUAUGGGUCUGCUUAUUUACAUUUUAAGUUAGCAAAAAUAUAUAAAAAUUUAUCAACAGCAACGACAAUUUUUAAUCAACUUUUACAAUUUUAAAUAAAAUUGACAAUUGCAUGAUUCGCAAAGCUGUUAGGCAUUAAGCUUUAAAGAUCAUUAAAUUAUAUCCCAAUCCAGUUUAGAAACAUUUCUUCAUGUUUCAUUCUUCAAUUAAUAAUUUUGUAUUCAUACAAUUUUUGUAUAAAAGGAGAAAGAUUAUUUGAUAAUGUCAUCAGUCGAUUUUUGUUAAACAAUCAACAAUCACCUAAAACAUCAACAUGAAGUUCUUCAUCUUUUUUGCCUUGUUCAUUGUUGCCGUUAGUGCUGGAAGUCUUCCCAUUAUUGCCAGUUCAAGUUAUGGUGCAGCUAGACCAGCCCUUAUUACUACAUCAGUAGUUAGGCCUGUAGCUGUGGUUUCUAAAACUGUCAAUAUUGCCCCAGUUGGAGUUAAACUUCUUUAAAAUUUAAGUUUUUUUUAAAAUUGCAAAUGAAAAAAAUUGACGAGCAAAAAUUGUACUUAUAACAAUAUUAGAACAAAAAUAAAUGUAUUUUAAGUUAUCAGCAUUCUAAACAAA